rnacentral:lncRNA from 1 species
CAACUCCCUACUUUGCUGGCUCUCCUAUCUUUCUGUGACUUCUCCUGAUGUUUGGAUGGUGACAUUUCAUCUGAGGUCACAGAGCCAAAUACCAGUGCCACCAUCCAUGAGAAGAAACAGACAAUUCACAGACUGUUCUGGAAAGGAGGACAUAUUUCUGAUUUUAGUGUCUUAUUUUGUAUUGUCAUACACAGAGCUGGGAGGGCAGGGUGUAGGGUGGUCGGCCUGGGGCAUGCAUGUGUGUGUGUGUGUGUGUGUGUGUGUGUGUAACUGCUGUCUCUGGCCUGCUCAGUGGUUCUGAGCUUCUCCUUCCCCUUUGUUUCUCCGUUGUUGCCUUUGGGUUUUUGAAAGAGCAUAAAGUUGGAUGUCACAAAAAAGACUUCCUCCCGUACCAAGUGAAGUUUGAGCACCCACAGAAAUGGGUCAGAGAAUGUAGUUAGAUGACAGUAUCACAGACCUACCUUCUAUGGAGUCUCUUCACUGUGUACAAUGAGUCUUGUUAUGUCUUGAGAAGAUACAGGGACUUGGGUUCAUGGUGUGUCAGGACAGUGCUAUACAGCAGCGGGGAGAAUGGUGACGUCCUUGGGUCACUCGAUGGCUGUUUCCAUAGGGUCCUGGUCUGUUAGAUGAAGCUUUGCUUUGGGCAUAGAGUGGCUUAGCAACCAGUUAGAGAAUGUUCAAAUUCUAGAUUCCUAAGUAUAGAACUGGAACACUGGAGGGUGCCUCAGAGCCUUUACCCAAGUCGUGAUCACAAAUGAGAAGAAGACUCGAGGGGAUUGAUGAGCUGAGGCCAGGCUGGACCACUAGAAUGCAGCAAGAGCAGCUGAGCCCAGUGCUCUGGUCUCUAUUAUGUGGAGCGUAAGGGAGAGGGAGAUGGAUGAGGUCAUACUAUUGCAAUCACUUGGGAAAAAAUACACAAACUUCCAAAACUGCAAGAUGCUUUCUACUGCCACCAGACCUCCUUUGGAGGUUUUCCUACCGCUUAAUAACCAGGAACUUGUUGGCGUCUGACAGAGCAUCUCAGAUUUCUUACAUAAAAUGUGGAAUUGUCAAUAGUCAGAUGCAUCAGUGGCCAAGGCUAUGGUGUGCAGUUUCUAUCAGCGUGUACAGGACAUCCUGCCUGGUUUUGGCCUCAAGGAAGCAAUGGUGAGAUUUCGUAGCUCAUCGUCUCCUGGUUGGAGCAAAGGGUGCCAAACAGAGGUCAAGCUCGGGCCACAGGGAAACUGGGAAAAUACGUUCAUUGCCAUGUGCGAGGAGUCCAGUGGAUUUCAGAAAUCUUCUGUGUCUUCUUAUAGGAUACAGUGACAGCCCCUUACUGGAAGAACAUUUUAGGUAAUCCCCACGACAGGGUGACAUACACUGAUGUUGGAGCAUUUAAAUAAAAAGAGUCUCACUGUGUAGAUAAAGACGUUUGCUUCCAAUGAAAACUGAGAGUGGAGAGAACCACUUAAAUCACGCAAGGACUCUACUCUUGUCUCAUUGCUAUCCUCCAGACUCACCCCACCCCCCAGUUCCCAAUGGCUGAAACAAACCCAGAGUGUACUGAGGAGAACAGAGUCUAGCAGAAUUUGUAUUUAGACUUUCGAUACUGACCACCAGCGUGGACUAGGCCUUUCCUAGCCACUCCCUCUGUCUAUGCCAGCUCUAGGUGUCUAAAUCCUUGCUUUACAUUAGGGGAGCUGAGGCAAAGGGAGAUGAUAGACUUGGUUCAAGAUCCCAGAACACCAGACAACGGCCAGAUCAGUUUUGGAUCCUGGUCAGUUGAAGGCUAAUGGUGGUAUCUUUGACUGUAGAGUCAUACAAUCUUUGAAUUAUCUUUGCCACAGUAUGCAUUUAAAUGUAGGUAUGUAUUUCAAUGCUAUAAUGGCGGCAGGGAGAUGAGAGGGCUGGAGAGGACUUCAGCUCGGAUGGAAUUGAUUUUCUUACGUCCAGGCUUAGAGAAGUGCAGCCGAAGAAUUUCUAAAGAAACACAGCGUCUCUCAAUCCAUCAGACUAUUAAACAACAAUGGGCCCCUAAUAAAUGAGAAUUUCCCCAGGAAUCUCCUACCGGAAGGAAAAGUUCAACUGUGAACAAGAGAUUUCAUUCAAUUUUAACAACAUGUCAGAUCACCAGUGGAGGCUCAGACAGGGAUGGGUCAGCGGCGGGUAAGACCACACCUUGAUCCGACGACUUAAGUGUGACUGUCCUUAACCCUCUUUAAACUUGAAUCUGACUUCAGGACUCCAAAGACAGACUUGGCGCAUCACUGAAUCUCUGUUCCUUUCCCAAAUUGGCCAUAUGGAGAAAAUAUCCCACUUUUUGCUCUCUCUCCACUAUUAAUUUGGCUCUUUUACUUGGUUUAUUGAUGAUGGGUGGCUGAACCCGACUUGGGGAGCAGGCUCUAAGCUCAAGUUCAAUCACAGUAGGACCCUUAACUGGGAUCAGGACUGGAGGCUCAGACUCGGGUGAUGAAUGCAGAAAGAGAUGCCCGGGCCUCCUGGAAGUUGGAAUGUGUAGCAUUAUUACUGAAAAGCAAAUAUGAUGGGCAUACACACAGCAGCCCAACUAUAGUCCUCUGACUUCUUGUUGGAGAUGAGGAGAAUUGAGAGUCCAGAAGCUAGUGUGCAAUGAUUGUUAAACAGCUCUAGUAAAGCUAGCUCCUGGGGCCAGAGGCUCAGCUCCUGCCUCAAACUUGCCUAGAGAUCUGGGCAUGAGUUUGGCUUAGGAGAUGAACGACUUCCAGCUGUUCUCUGUCAGCCCAAGGCAGUGUCAGAGCCUGGGAUCUGUCUGGACUUUGCAACCCUGGAAGGCUUUGCUGCAGACCAGAGAGCUGCCAGGAGGCCCCAGAAAUGCCUGAGAACAAAGAGGCGGUAAACACACACGCUGAAACCUUUUACCAACUGGCUGUGGCCCAAACCAAAAUGAGAAAUGAAUUGCUGAGAGCUGCCAUUGAUGGACACAGAGAGUGUUAAAACCCAGAGCACAUAAACCAGGAUGAGAAAAUUAAUCAGAAGAUAAAAGACAGCGGCUUUGGGAUCCCUGGCCGAGCCCUCCUGCAUGCUCCUGGGACAUCCUUUCAGACCAGCAGCACCAUCCCGUGCAGGGGCUGUGACAGAUGACUUAUAAUGUAGACAUCACCUCUGCUGGUGGACAGCCUUCGGAUCUGCUGAGUCCUUUUAUAAUAAAUAAAACCAAAC